GGGGCUGUAGCUCAGCUGGUUAGAGCACCGUGUUGAUAACGCGGGGUCGUUGGUCUCGAGUCCAACCAGCCCUACCA
rnacentral:tRNA from 1 species